rnacentral:lncRNA from 1 species
AAGCAAUGUUCCUUCCACGCAAUUACUCACAGUCUGCAGCGUCUUCAGGCAGCCAUCAUUUCACAUGAGAGCAGCUGCCUGGAGGAUGCAUUCCUGGAAGUGUGCACAGUGAGGAUGGCUUGGCAGUGAGCACUCUUCCCGCCCUCCUUUUUGUGUUUCUUCAAAAAUCCGGAAGCGAUCUAAAGGGACUGAGACAUUGUCUGGACUGGGGUUUCCUGUCUAGAAGAUGGGUCUGUUGUGGAUUCCAUGAGGUCAUAUGGAUCUUCUGCAUUUGGUUCUAGCUAACAGAUGGAUUGCGGUUGCAAGAGUCUUGAACGCCACAGGGAUCAUUACCUAAGAGAUGUUGCUGUGAGGGUAAACAUGAGACCAAGACACUGCCCUGUGCUGAGUGCCGGGGGAAGGGCUUCCCAGAGGAGGCGACACAGAGCUUGUCGCAGGAGA